CCUACGGGUGGCAGCAGUAGGGAAUAUUGCUCAAUGGGGGAAACCCUGAAGCAGCAACGCCGCGUGGAGGAUGAAGGUUUUUGGAUUGUAAACUCCUUUUGUUAGAGAAGAUAAUGACGGUAUCUCACGAAUAAGCACCGGCUAACUCCGUGCCAGCAGCCGCGGUAAUACGGAGGGUGCAAGCGUUACUCGGAAUCACUGGGCGUAAAGAGCGCGUAGGCGGGAUAGCAAGUCAGAUGUGAAAUCCUAUGGCUUAACCAUAGAACUGCAUUUGAAACUGUUAUUCUAGAGUAUGGGAGAGGUAGGUGGAAUUCUUGGUGUAGGGGUAAAAUCCGUAGAUAUCAGGAGGAACACCGGUGGCGAAGGCGGCCUGCUGGACUGCAACUGACGUUGAGGCCCGAAAGCGUGGGGAGCAAACAGGAUUAGAUACCCCAGUAGUC
rnacentral:rRNA from 1 species